rnacentral:lncRNA from 1 species
UUUCUGUGGCUGGAACGUAUCUGCCUCAUUGUCUUCCUCCUCUACGAAUUCUUCUCCUACAGUGCUGGAUCCAGUGAUGAAGAGAUCCACAUCAGAGAGGUACUUGACAGAUUUAAACCCACUGAUAAUUCCAUUGACAUCGUGAAUAAUCCUUUGCAAUUUCGUAUAGGCUUCCAUCGGACUCAACUUUAACUCUGUGAUCAAUCGAUCGAUCUUGUUGAGGACGAGACAAGGAGUCAACUUCUCAAUCCAUGCCUGACGGAGAGCAGCAUGGGUUUGGAUAUGAACACCUUCGACGGAAACAACCAGAACCAAAGCCCCAUCACUUAAUCUGGCGGCAGUGGACACCUCGCUGCAGAAGUCGAUGUGUCCAGGGGAAUCAAUAAGGUUUAUGGAAUGUUCACCGUAUUUCAAUAAAAUAGAAGAGCUUUUCAUUGUGAUGGCUCGCCGUUGUUCCGCGGAACUCGAUCGCGGUUCCGCGGAACUCGAUCGCGGUUCCGCGGAACUCGAUCGCGGUUCCGCGGAAUCGGAAUCGGACCGCCGUGGAAUCGGAAUCGGAACGACGCGGAAUCGGAACGUCGUGGAAUCGGAAUCGGAACGACGCGAAAUCGGAAUCGGAACCGGAACCGUACGGAUCGAGGAGGGGAACGCACGGUGCGGACGGGCCGUGCCAGAUGUUUUUCCUAUAUAUAUAUACGUGUCUAUAUUUAUAUUUGUUUAAGAUGAAUGUCUAUAUACAAUUUCCAUUCUCAUAUAUACGUGUAUUAGGUCGUGGUAGGGGUGAGAAUGGUCCCGGGUCACCCCUUAGACCCGUCUCGUACGUUCCGUGUCUUGGUGGGAACAGGAUCGAGGUAGGAUUUUGCCCCGAAUUUUUUUUCCCGCCUUGUUGCUCCGGUCAUUUUAUGGAGCAGGUGUUAGGGCAGGGAAAACUAUAAUUUUCCUUUUAUUUUUAGCCUCGAUCAUAUUUUCGAGGGCGGGUCUCAGAGCUUGUAAAUGGUACAUCAAAAUUUGAAUUCGAGUUUGAAUUUUUUUAAAACUAUUUGAAUUUGGUUAUUCAAAUUUCAAAUGCGAAUUCAGUUUUCAAUUUUUGAAUCCGUGAAAUAUUUGGUCGAAUAUACGAAUUCAAUUCAACAAUUUGAGGUAUUAGACAUCUCAACUAAUGAUCAUAUAAUACAAAACACACCAAAAAAAGAGAAACAGUCCUCAAUCAACAAUGACCCAAUAACAUCAUUGGUGACUAAGAUAAGUAUCUCAGACAAACAAAAACAUUAUGAAAAAUCUACUAGUCCAAAAUAGCAAACAAAAACACUCUUCUGGACUAAUUAGAGAAUGAGAAGAACAUAUCCAAAUCUGAAUUGGGAGAGAAAAUUAAAAGCACAAAGAUGUCAAAAACAUUAAAAUCAAAAAGGUGAGAAGACCCUUCAAAAAGACCAACUAAAUAUGAUGAUAUCUAUUGUCCUAGUUUCAAAGAAACCAGAAAAUGAAAGUAUAUCAAAUCACAGGUUUAAUGAAAAACAUAAAGAUUUUGUGAAAACAAUCACAAAAGAAACAAAAUCAAAACAUUACCAUCAUGCCAAGUGUUACCCAAAAUGGCGUCAGACUAUGAAUGAGGAAAUGUUGGCUCUUAAAAAGAACAACAUAUGUUCCAUAUAUAGUACCGUUACCAUCUAACAAAAAGCCCAUAGGCUCAAGAUGGAUAAAAUAAAAUACAAAUCUGAUGAGACCAUUGAGAGAUACAAAGCUCGACUACUAACCAACUCAAUACCCAAACUAGUAUCAUUCAAAACACUAUUAACCAUAGUGGAAGACUUAAAUGAAGCUCCAUCAAAUGGAUGUAUACAAUGCAUUCUUGCGCACAUGAAGACCCAAAUGAGGAAAUAUAUAUGAUUAUAGCCCAAAUGCAUGUUCUGGAUUUUUAUGGCCAAAAGAUUUUUCAUUUUUCACAACACACCAUAAGACCAAAAACUGAUUCUUUCAACAUGCAAGGAGUAGCUCUUAAAUGAUUUUUAUGGAUGGAGUCCAGCAACUAUCUGACUACAUGGCUUGCAUUUGUCAAGUCUAUAUUAAAGAAAUUUAAUCCAACUACAUGCACCACUCCAGGUGGAAAACUCAGUAAAUUUGUUUCAAACAUCAACAGUUGCUGAUUUCAUGGAGAAAUUUGAAGAUUACUCAUCAAAAGUAAUAGGAAUCCCUGAUUAGCUAUUAUUAAAAUGUUCCUAUCAUGCCCAAAGGAUGAUAUUCAAAAAGAUGUAGUGACACAGCAAAACUUGAAGAUUUACCAGAGGCUAUGAUCAAGGUGGCUAUUCAUCUUGAAAAACAGGGAACAAGAAGCACUUCAACCUUCAAACAAGGAGGAUACAAAUCCAUCCAUGAAAGGCAAUAUAUACUACACCAAGAAUAAUAUUAAGUGAGUAUAUAACUCUAAUAUGGCCAGCAACACAAUCACCAACACUCCCAAAACAGAAAAUCUAAACCCAAAUUUCAAGAGCCUCACAUUUGCUGAGAGAAAAAAAAGAACUUCCAAAGGGUUAUGCUUUAAUUAUGAUGAAAAAUUCUCACCGAGACACAAAUGUAGAGGAAAAUUAUUCAGAUUUUCAGAUAAAAACAACACCUUCUGAGAACUAGCAGAUACAGAUGAAGGAGAAGAAGAAGCUGGAAUUAAAAUUCUGAAGAUCGAGGAAGAGUCUGAAAUCAGCCUUCAAGCAUUACAGGGAAGAAUUGGCAUAAUAAACAUCAGACUGGAAGGCUUCAUCAAAAGCUUUAAGACAGACCUUUCAAUCAAAAUGGAACAUACACAAGAAUGGUGGUAGGAUAUUGGAAUAUUAAAAUACAAAUCACUUCUUACUUUCUUUGUAGAUCUUAGAAGAUUAGAAGUACAAGUGUUGAACCGUAGAUCUCGAUCUUUUUGAAAGCUUUUUGGUGCUAGACCACAACUUGAGGGAUGAAUGAUUGAACUCAAAGAUUGAAGAUUUGAAGAGAGUUUGGAAGCUCAAAAACGUUGUAGUGUGUUGGCUUCAAAUGAUGAAAGUUUCCCUCUAUUUAUAGAAAAAUAAAUUCUUCAAAUGAUGUAGUGUGUCACUUGAUUGAAGUUUGGUUUGAGCAGUCUUGACUUUUAGAUUUUUGAACAACGGUUUUAUGUUUUCUCGCUACAGUCCAAAAACAAUUGACUUUUGAGAUUUCUUUUUUUAAUUGCCUAGGAAAUUGAUUCCUUUUGAAUAAGAGAAUGUCGGUUGACCGCAUAUUGGAUUUUGACUUUUGGCGAAUCGAAUACCUAAGUUUUUGGUUCGGUUCGUAUAAAUAAACAAGCCUACUCUUAGAUUUGAGUUCGUUUCCGAACCUAAUUCGAACUGAAUUCGAACUGAAUCCGAAACGAACCGAAUAGUUCGUCGAAUACCGAACUUUUGUUGCAAUUAUGGUAAAUUAAAUACAAUAUCAAUUUCUGCAUCUUGUAGAGAGAGAUUCCCCCUCUUUUCUCUAUAACAUAUUAUUCACUAUUAAUGAUCCAAUAAUAGUACUAUAUAAUCCAAGCUAUCUUAAUCAUAAUGAUCAAAAAAUCCCAGAGGCCCACUCCUUUUUUUUUCCACCUACUCUACUAAGGGUGAGAAUAGAUCCCGAUCCGUCCCGUUUCACGUCCCGAUCGUCAAGACAGAAAAGUAGGGUACCUGACCGGUCCGUUUUGGAAAAACGGGACGGGACCACCCCACCCCACCCGCGAUUCGUCCCAUUCUCAUCUCUACCUACUACGUACUCAAUAAUUGGAUCAAUGCUUCUUCAAUCUCGAUAAAAUAUAUUAUUUAUGAUUCAAAUGAUAGAGAUAUUUUAAAAACUUUACAAAAUUUAGAUUUUUUAUUCAAUUUGUGUAAGUUAAAAUUCAAGUUCGAACCCAAGCUUGUCGAUUUUGCUAAUGAAACGAGUGGUUGAGGAAUUGUCCAGGAAGAUAAAACCUUAUGGUUUUACUAGUUUUUCAUUUCUUCUUUCCUCUUCAAUUAUUCAGACCACUUGGACAUAUUCCGAGCCACAUACAAAUUCAGAAAUUUGUACCUAAUUCAACUAUAAAUAGAUGAAGAUUGUAGUGUUCUUCACCAUCAAUUGCGAAAACUUAAAUUCUAUGGAGAAAGAAGAAGCAAGGCUUGUGGGUUUUUCGGCAAGUCCAUUUGUGUUAAGAACAAUAAUAGCCUUGAAGAUCAAAGGAAUUCCAUAUGAGUUUGUUGACGGAGAUAAGAGAAACGAGUUUCCAACACUUCUUCACGCUGGUAAUGUCGUAUCAAAGUCUUUCAAAAUAGUUGAGUACCUUGAUGCAACAUGGAAGGCCGAGGAUCGCCCUCUCAUCUUGCCGGUCGAUCCUUACGACCGUACUAUUGUGCGAUUUUGGGCUACAUAUAUUGAUGACAAGGUAUAUAAUUAUGUAAGCAUUUAUAUUUUAGUUAGAUAUGCAAACAUGUUUGUAAGUCUUUUUUACCCAUCUAGUUAAUUAAGGUAGAUAAAAACCCGAACCAAGACUUUUAGUUUCGAUUUGGUUCAACGAUCUUAUAAUUAAAUUUUUAGACCCAAAAUCUUAUAAUUAAAUCAUAAUUAAAUUAAGUUUAAAAAGUAAUAAUCUAUUAAAUGUUAUUAAUUUAAAUCAGUGACAUGAUUUUUUACCGGUUAAAAGAUAAGAAAGACCGACCGAGGUUUUUCACCCCAACUCAUAUCUUAAAAGUACAUCCUCUAAAGAUACGUAUGAUCAAUAUGGGAUAGGUAGAGUAGAAAAUAUAAAAUGAAAAUAAUGUAGGUAAACUAGCUUUAGGACUGGGGGCAAAUGCACAUCACCAAAAUUUAAGGUUUAGAGGGGAGUAGUAUAUAUGUUCAAUCUACCUUCUUUUUGAAAAUCAAUAAAUUUACAACUGAUUUCAAAUUAAAAAAAAUACUAAUUUCAAUUAGUGGGAUCCACCUGCGGAAUUGGUCCUAGCUAGAUUAACAAUUUAAUGGUUAUGGGCUUGGUCUGUUUUAGAAACAAACUAGUUCUAAUUAAAACCAGCAAACCAUGCCCAUUAUGCAAAUUCACCUAUAUCUAUUAUAAAUCAAUUCUACCCAGAAUUCCAUGAUUAUUUAUUUAUUUACUUAUUUUUCUUGCAGAUUUUAUCGGCCAUGAAAUUGAUAAUAAAAGGAUCGACAAAGAAGAUUGAAGAAGAAUUUCAUGAGGCAAUGCAGGUUUUGGAAAGUGUUUUCAAAAAUGAAAGUCAAGGUCAAAGCUUCUUUGCAAAGGGAAAUAUCGGAUAUAUUGACAUAUCUUUGGGGUCAAUAUUGGGUUGGAUGAAAGUUGUUGAGAAAUCAAAGAAUAUUAGGUUACUGGAUGAGAGGAAGACGCCUAUGUUGGUGAAUUGGGCUGAACAAUUCCAAGCUCACGAAGUUGUCAAGGGAAUGAUACCCGAACCAGACAAGUUGUCUAAGACAAUUGAUGAAAAAACAAUAGACGAUUCCAAACAACAAGAUGAAAUUGAUCGAGCAUUUAUCUAUGCUAGGCAAUUGACGUUCAAUCAUGCUCUCUCAAUGACCUUGAAAGUUGUCAUUGAACUGGGUGUGCUUGAUGUUAUUGCGAAUGCUGGUUUCGACAAAUUCCUCUCCCCAAAAGAGAUAGCAAGUGAAUUAUCGAUUGUCAACCCUGAUGCUCCCAUCAUGCUCAAUCGCAUGCUUAGACUACUUGCCAGCCACAAUAUCGUCAUCUGCAAAUCAAAAUCAUAUAGUAAUUGUGAUGAAAACACCAUAGUUGGUACUACGUUAUAUGGUAUUGGCCCUAUAUCUAAGUAUUUUGUCAAAAAUGAGGAUGGUGUUUCACUAGCUCCCAUGCUUGCCGCAAUCCAAGAUAAGGUUUACAUGAAAAGUUGGUAAGCUAUUUUUUUAUCAUCUUUAAUUCAACUUUAAGAAAUCAAUCAUAACAUGUUAUAUUUAUAGGAAAACAUAAGAUAGUUUGAGACAUUUGAAACUAGGCCGUCCAUUUGAGAUAUGUAUCAUAUUAUACUUAUAUUUAAUCAUAUUAUACUUAUAUUUAAUCAUAUUAAAGAAACCAUUAGAUUUAAAAUUAACGACAGAAAUAUUGAAGAUAUCUCUUAUAAUAUCUCAAGAUUUUUUUUAUAGGUACUACUUGAAAGAAGCAGUGAUGACAGGUGGUAUUCCAUUCAACAUGGCGUACGGAAUGUCAGCUUUUGAGUAUCAUAGUAUAGAUGUGAGGUUCAAUAAUCUAUUUAAUAAAGCAUUUUUUAAUAUGACAAUCCUUAUGAAGAAAAUUCUUCAUUUAUAUAAUGGAUUUGAGAGUAUCAACAAAUUGGUUGAUGUUGGUGGGGGCACUGGAGCCAAUCUAAACAUCAUAAUCUCGCAACAUCCAACCAUAAAGGGUGUCAACUUCGACCUUCCUCAUGUCAUCAAAAAUGCCCCCUUAUUUAAAGGUAACAUAAUAUAUCCAGAAUCAGUAUAUAAUUGAAUGUUUUGCGGAAACUAAUUAUGUAUGAUUGUGUUCUGUUUUACAGGAGUGAAACAUGUUGGCGGAGACAUGUUUGAGAAGGUUCCUAGUGGUGAUGCCAUUUUUAUGAAGGUAUAUAUCUUAAACUGGCCUUUAAUUUUCCAUAUAUUGAUUCUAACCCAGAUAAGUACAUCACUGUUUUGUUUUAUGCAGUUUAUCCUACAUGAUUGGAGCGACGAUCAUUGUGUGAAGUUAUUGAAGAAUUGUUGGAAACAACUUCCAAAAAAUGGAAUGGUUAUCGUCUGUGAAUUUACUAUUCCCGUUGAACCACAAGAAGAUAAUUCAGCUUUCUAUAGUGAUAUGUCGAUGUUGACACUAAAUCCGGGAGGUAAGGAGAGGACUGAAAGUGAAUAUAGUUUACUGGCGAAGAAAGCAGGAUUUGUCGAUUUCAAAGUUGCAUGUGAUGUAUAUGGAAUGUACAUCAUGGAAUUCAGUAAGUAGUUGCACGCCCAAAUUUCUUCCUUAUGUGGAAAUACUAAAUAAAAUUAAAGCUUAUAUACACAACUUGAUUAGUCCAGUUGGUAACUAUCACUAUUAAGGUGGACGAACUGUUAAAGGUCCAGGGUUUGAGUCUCAAUGUAUGUAUUUUAAUUUAUAUUUACUUUUGUAUCAGUUUAUCAAAAAAUAAAAAUGUUUGCAAUAUAUAUAUAUAGAGAAAAAAUCAGGAACGACCCUGAUCGCACGGUGCCCUAAAACGGUACCUGCCCCCUCCGCCUUGCGAUUCCACAUCCACGGUCGUCUCCUCUCCAAGCCAACGUAUCUACCGAUGGCCAAUCUACCUCUAACAGAGUAAUGUGAGAUACUGUCAGUAACUGCGAUUUCGGUCCCGCAACAGAGUAACUGCGAUUUCGGUUCCGCGGAACCCAUCGCGAGUUCCGCGGAACUCGAUCGCGGUUCUGCGGAACUCGAUUUCGCAGAACCGGAACCGAAAUCGCGAUAGUGAGGGCCUCUGACACUGGCAGUGUGCCGGAAACGAAUCUUGCUGCGAAGAAGCCAAAGAUCUUAGUUGCCGGAGGCGGAAUCGGUGGGUUGGUUUUCGGUUUGAGUACCAACUGCACAAACAUCGGUUGGUGUUCUUUUCCACCACUGGAAGCCUCAAUUGCUUUUUUCCCAACAAUCAUCUUGGUUUUGUGGUUGAAAUAACGCAGACCCCAAAGACCUUUAUUCAGAGCAGUUGAACUCGCACCCAAUUUUGAUGCAUACAUCUCUGCAAACUGAGCAAUGCCGAAUCCCCAACCAUCUAGCGCACAGACGAAGACCACAUUUCCUUUCUGUGGCUGGAACGUAUCUGCCUCAUUGUCUUCCUCCUCUACGAAUUCUUCUCCUACAGUGCUGGAUCCAGUGAUGAAGAGAUCCACAUCAGAGAGGUACUUGACAGAUUUAAACCCACUGAUAAUUCCAUUGACAUCGUGAAUAAUCCUUUGCAAUUUCAUAUAGGCUUCCAUCGGACUCAACUUUAACUCUGUGAUCAAUCGAUCGAUCUUGUUGAGGACGAGACAAGGAGUCAACUUCUCAAUCCAUGCCUGACGGAGAGCAG